rfam:Aedes aegypti strain Liverpool supercont1.160 genomic scaffold, whole genome shotgun sequence.
UGCCCAGCAACUCCUAUCCCUACCUCCUCGUGGUACUGGCCGGGGUACGAGUAACCUUGGGGAAGAUCGGGUAACCAACCCCCGGUGGGAACUUUGGUCGUAUGCUGACAGGGAAAG